rnacentral:rRNA from 1 species
UACGUAGGGAGCGAGCGUUAUCCGGAUUUAUUGGGUGUAAAGGGUGCGUAGGCGGUUUAUCAGGUCUAAGGUUUAAGCCCGGAGCUUAACUCCGGUUCGCCUUAGAAACCGAUUUACUUGAGUAUGGUAGAGGCAAGUGGAAUUUCUAGUGUAGCGGUAAAAUGCGUAGAUAUUAGAAGGAACACCAGUGGCGAAGGCGACUUGCUGGGCCAUUACUGACGCUGAGGCACGAAAGCGUGGGGAGCAAACAGG